rnacentral:lncRNA from 1 species
AGGGUGCUUUUAGAACCGAGCUGUUCAGGGUCCCAGAUCCUCUAAUGUAAUGCCAGCUGAACCCAGACAGUGACUUCCACCUCCAUGAAUGCAGGUGAUUGCAUCCUUUGAAAGCCUGUUUGCAUAGCAGACAAUGAAGCUGAGCAGAGAAAAACAAGAUGAGAGACAGAUGGAGUAGGAGACCUGAGAAGAUGGCUUGAGUCCAUGAAUUCUGGUGUUCCCUAGGCCACAUUUGCCCCCAUCCUUCCCAGGUGAGAGAACCUUUGUGGGAGCGCAGAAGUCCAGCAGAGAGACCCUAGCACUUUAUUUGGACCAAAAAAUAAAUAAUAAAUAAAUAAAUAAAUAAAUCCAAAACUAGAUGCAUUAAAGAAGGUAAGAACAGUUUUACUUUACCUGUGUCACCCCUCCCCCAGUGUGGCACAGAUCAGUGCCAAGAGAGACCGCUUCAGCCCAGUUUCUUCCACAGGGGAAAAUGAGAACAGUGAGUGCCUAAUUUCCUCAGCUGUAGGAUGCUGUAGAAGAGACCCACUUCUGCCUCACCCAUUUGAGAACCCUGAGGGAAUCAGUAUGGCUGAAUAAUCUGGGGGUAGCUAGGAGCAGGGAAAAGGGGCAGCACUCACAGCAACCUGAGUAUGGAAUUCAGCAAAGAGCCACAGUUUCUAUUAACUACCUCCCAAAUUCCAUCAAGAGGGCCAGCCACAAACUACAUAGGAUGCAUAAUCUGCAGAUCCCCUGACUAGCCCAUGUGUGCUUCCAACCUUCUGCAUGCCCUUCCCCCAUGUAGCUGGCACCCUGAAUGCACCCCCAUGGAUAGCAUGUACAAGCUUCUGCAGAUUGUGCAUGAGAACAUGAAGAUAACUAACUUGAUUCAGGAUUGGAAGGAAGUGACUAAUCUUGAAUUUUUCAAGGCACUUCCUAGGGAAGAUAAACAGGAGGCUUACAUUGCACCUGGCCUGACUUUUGCAAGAUCAAGAGAAGGAAUAUGCUGUAAUUUGAAUGAAAAUUUAACAUUUAAAAUUUAUGUUGAAGCUGAAUACUCAAUGCAAUAGUACUAAGAAGUCUAACCUUUGGGAGGUGAUUAAGUCAUGAUGACUCUUCUCACUUGAAUGGGAUGAGCACUCAUAAAAGAUGUCAAGGUUUAUGGGAGUUCUCUUUUGCCCUUCCAUCCCUUCUGCCAGGUUAGACUUCUCCUAUGGAGAAUGCAGCAAGAAAAUACCAUCUUGAAGCAGAGAGCAGCGCUCAUCAGGCAUCAGUCCUUCUGGAGCCUUGAUCUUGGACCUCCCAGCUCCAAAAUAAUAAGUAAUAAAUUGUUAUUGCUUAUAAAUUA